rnacentral:ncRNA from 1 species
AGCUAACUUAAUCCUGAUUACCUGAUUUACUUUCCUACACCUCCACAUGCCAGUAAAAUACAACUUUAUUAAAAUAAUAAUCCUGCAGUGAAUAACUUUAAGCUAUAGGCGCCAGCCUGACUUAGAAAAACGGAAAACCACCGGCCAAUCUCGUGCCAGCCGCCGCGGUUAAACUUGUAGGUGAAUGUAAAUUAAUUCGGCGUAAAUGUGGCUAGACUAAAUCUAAGGGUAAACUUUUUUCUCGCGGUAGUAUGCUUCCUAAAACUUGAAACCCCUAUUAAAAAGUCAACCCACAAAAGCUAAAAAAUAAACCAGGAUUAGAUACCCUGCUAUAUUUAGCCGUCACCAUAUUACUAUAUCUUAAGCCCGAGAACCAUACACAAAGUGUAAAAUUCAAAGGAUUUGGCGGUAUCUUAUAUCUAACUAGAGGAGCCUGCCUUUUAAAUCGAUAAUCCCCGCUAUACCUCACCAACCCUUGCUUUUCCCGCUUGUAUACCAUCGUCAUCAGCCCACUUUGUGAAAAUAUUAACGCGGGCAAAACGGCCUCGCCAUUAUGUCAGAUCCAGGUGCAGUACAUGGGUUUGGGAACGGUUGGCUACACUCCUAAAUUUUUGUUAAGAAGACAGACUAUGUUUUGCAACAAAUAUCUUUAAGCAGAAUUUAGCCGUAGUGAAAGAAAGCAUACUUUCACGAAGUAAGCUCUGAGAUGCGUACACAUCGCCCGUCAUUUCCCCCGUACAAACCCCAAUACCUAACCACUAUAAAAUCAAGGGGGAAGAAGUCGUAACACAGUAGGUGUACUGGAAAGUGCGCCUGGCACACC